CCUACGGGUGGCAGCAGUGAGGAAUAUUGGUCAAUGGGCGGAAGCCUGAACCAGCCAAGUAGCGUGCAGGAUGACGGCCCUACGGGUUGUAAACUGCUUUUAUACGGGAAUAACGCGCCUUACGUGUAGGGCUUUGCAUGUACCGUAUGAAUAAGGACCGGCUAAUUCCGUGCCAGCAGCCGCGGUAAUACGGAAGGUCCGGGCGUUAUCCGGAUUUAUUGGGUUUAAAGGGGGCGUAGGGCGCAUGUCAAGCGUGCUGGGAAAUGGCCGGGCUCAACCCGGGCCGUGCAGCGCGAACUGGCGUGCUUGAGUGCGCGGAAAGCAGGCGGAAUGCGUGGUGUAGCGGUGAAAUGCUUAGAUAUGACGAAGAACCCCGAUUGCGAAGGCAGCUUGCUGGAGCGGAACUGACGCUGAUGCACGAAAGCGCGGGUAUCGAACAGGAUUAGAUACCCGGGUAGUC
rnacentral:rRNA from 1 species